rnacentral:rRNA from 1 species
GCUAACACGUUAAGCUCAUCACCCACACAAACACACCCAUUAAUCCAACCAAAACAUUUGCCACAUUAAGUAUUUGUGACAGAAAAAUAAAUAGACGCACUAGCACAUAGUACCGCAAGGGACCACUGAAAAACCAAUGAAAUAUUAACAGCACACAACAGCAGGAACAAGCCCCCGUACCUCUCGCAUCAUGAUUUAGCAAGCACCCCCAGACAAAGCGCCCUUCAACCUGCCCCCCCGAACCCAGACGAGCUACCCCGCAGCAACCUCCUAGGGUCCACCCAUCUCUGUAGCAAAAGCGUGGGAAGACUGCGGGGUAGAGGCGAAACACCUACCGCGCCUGGCUAUAGCUGGUUGCUCACUAAACGAAUUUCAGUUCCGCUGCAGCACGCCACCGCACACAAACAUGCCCCUGCCCGCCCCUGCAAGCCAUACAAUAAGGGUACAGCCUUAUUGUAAUGGGAAACAACCCACACUAGAGGGAAACCCUCCAACACCCCACCCAGUAGGCUUUAAAGCGGCCACCAAACCCAACCGCGUCAUAGCGCCCCCCCCCACUAAUCCCAAAAACCACACACCCCCCCUACCACAAACUGAGCCACUCUAACCCCACACUAGAGAAGAUUCUGCUAAAACUAGUAAUACAGAGCACGCUCUCUACCGCACCCCCUCACGCCCCAAGCAACUAACAGCGCCACUAAGCACAAGUAACUCCAAAAACAAGGCACUUUACCACACAAAACUGUUACCCCAACACAGGAGUGCGAAAAAGACAGAUUACAAGUCACAAAAGGAACUCGGCUAAUGUGCCCCAACUGUUUACCAAAAACAUAGCCUUUAGCAUCCCAAGUAUUAAAGGUCCUGCCUGCCCAGUGAUCUCUUUUUAACGGCCGCGGUAUCCUAACCGUGCAAAGGUAGCGUAAUCAUUUGCCCCCUAAAUAGGGGCUCGUAUGAACGGCUACAUGAGGGCCCAACUGUCUCCUGUGACCAAUCAAUGAACCUGAUCUCCCAGUACAAAAGCUGGGAUAAACCCAUAAGACGAGAAGACCCUGUGGAACUUUAAAUAUAAGCACCACCCACACAUCAACCACCACUAAGGUACCACCACAAAAAAUAGUGCACAUUUUUAGUUGGGGCGACUUCGGAAAACAAAAAAACUUCCAAGACAUAAAUUAACACCAUACCAAGGCCCACAAGCCAAGUUAAUACACACAUACGACCCAGUACCACUGAUCAACGAACCAAGCUACCCCAGGGAUAACAGCGCUAUCCUUCUUAAGAGCCCCUAUCGCCAGAAGGGUUUACGACCUCGAUGUUGGAUCAGGACAUCCUAGUGGUGCAGCCGCUACUAAGGGCUCGUUUGUUCAACGAUUAAUUGUCCUACGUGAUCUGAGUUCAGACCGGAGUAAUCCAGGUCGGUUUCUAUCUAUGUACGCCCUCCCCCAGUACGAAAGGAAUCGGGAGGCGGCACCAAUGGUACAAACCCCACGUGCCAAAAACACACUCUGACCACACCACUGAAGAGUCAAAUCCCACCCAACCCAAGACAAGGGUACAC